CUGGCUCCAUCCUAUGACUUCCGUCUUUUUGACGGCGCCAUUUUGGAUUGAGUGUUAUCUUGGCUGAAAUAGAUACGGUUAGGCUAGCGGCUCUGCUCGCUCACCACUACGGCCAAGUCAGCAAAACAAUUCAAAGAGCGCCGAUGAGUUUCUUCUGAUUCACACUUUACGGCUAAUCGAAUAUCCAGUAUGUCGUUCUAAUGAAUGGUGCACUACUCUGUCCUUCUUUCGACCCUAUAGCUUGCUAGAAACAGUAACGUACAACAAAUGGGAUCGCUAGCUGGUUAGCUUGCACACUAGCAGAGCAUCACACAGCACCGGCUCCGAGUGCGAUCAUCAUCAUUAUUCACCUGAGUCCGUCCAGCCUGGCCCAGCUCAAAACUCUGUUGGACCAGUUCAUACUCUAGACAGACAUGUAUCAGCUCCCUGUGAACAACCUCACCAGGAUUCGGAGAGCCAGGAGGCAGGUGAAGAAAGCACUUGGUGACAUUGGGCUAGAAUACUGUAAAGAGGCGGCUGAGGAGUUCAAGGAGUUUUGCCCUAAUGAGCAAUAUGUCAAAGGAACUCUUUGCCUUGAGAUUUCCUCAUGGGACCCAUCAUACUCCAAAACACAGGAAUAUCGAUCCAAGCCAUUUUGCUGCACAGAGUGUCCAUUUUCUUCCAAAUACUACUCAGGCUACAAGAACCACUUUCGCAAUGUACACAGGCAGAAUUUUGAGAACAGCAUCCUGCUUAACUGUCCAUACUGCACCUUCACUGCGAGCAAGAGAACGAUGGAGACUCACGUGAAAAUAUUCCACAUACCGAGUUCAACUCGGCAGAACUACGGGACCAUCCAGGGCGCUGCGGUGGCCCAGAAGGACAAAGUAUGGCCAGACAAAGCUAAACAGGGAGACAAUGUGGAGAAAGCAAUGUACUUUUGCAAAAAAUGCACUUACCGGGACCCUCUAUAUAACAUUGUAAGACGACACAUUUACAGGGAACAUUUUCAGCAUGUGGUCUCCCCCUACCUUGGCAUGGUUUCUGAGUCAUCAGUCAAAAAUGGUGCAAAUUCUGUCAAUGGCAACAACAUCCUAUGUAAGCGCUGCCAGUUUUCCACACGAAGCUACGAGGCAUUAGUGCAGCAUGUGGUUGAGUACCACGAACGCAUUGGCUCUCAAGUCACAAGCAUGAUUGGGCAUGCCAAUGUUAUGGUUUCCAGGUCUCAAGCCUUCCCUGGAAUGUCACAGAAACCCUCCAUAGUGGCAUCCGCGGGCCGUAGCUUAACUUCUGAGCAAAUAGGCCACAUGAUGCGUGGCAACUUAAAACAGGGUCCCUCACUUCUUAAAAAUCAAUCUUCCAUUGCUGGACAUCCGGGGCGUGUCUCAAUUCCUGGAAGUAGCGCCUUGGCUGAAAGCACAUCUUCUGCUGUGAACACAUCCCAAACACAGAAGUGGAAGAUAUGCACUGUAUGCAAUGAGCUUUUUCCAGAAAAUCUCUAUAGUGCUCAUUUUGAAAAGGCACAUAAAGCAAAGAAAGUUUGGGCGAUGGCCAAAUACAUAAUGAAGAUCCACAACUUCACCAGCAAGUGCUUGCUUUGCAAUCGAUAUCUGCCCAGUGAUACAUUGCUUAACCACAUGUUAAUCCACGGGCUCACCUGCCCUCAGUGCCAUUCUGCUUUCCACAACGUUGAGAAGAUGAUUGAGCAUGUCAAGCAGGUUCACCCAGACGACUAUGUUGGGCCUACGGCUACAUCCCCGUUAACCUUUGACCUCACCAUCAAACAAGACAAGUCUAACAACAUACAGCUUGUUGUAAUCACAUUUAACAUGAAGGAGUCCAUCAAUGGUCAGGAUCCAACUGCAUCUGCUCAGAGCAGCAGUCCCCCUUUGGUUAAAGUAACCGUUCCUAAGGUGAUGGACAGGAAAGGAGAGGCACAUGCUAGAAAUCCAACGGCUCUAACUGACAAGAGUGAGGUGGGUAAGACCCUCUGCCCGCUGUGUUUCACCAUCCUUAAGGGCCCCAUCGUCCAUGCCCUCGCCCAGCAUCUACGGGAGCGACACCAAGUGCUCCAGACGAUGCACCCGGUGGAGAAAAAGAUGACAUACAAGUGCAUACACUGCCUUGGGGUGUACACAAGCAACAUGGUGGCCUCCACGAUCACCUUGCAUCUUGUGCAGUGCAGGGCAGUGGGCCGGUCCCAUGCAGGCCAGGGCAUGAAGUCUGCCCUGACUCUGAACUCCUCUGGUGCCGGGUUCCUGAAGAGACGGCUACCCACUCCGACCACAUCAGACCCCAAGAGGUUCAAACUAAACGAUUCGAAGACGACCUCUGCUGCACCCGGACCCCGGGAUGAUGCAGAUCUCGUGCUGGAUCCUAGAAGUUACGAACAUAAGACGUAUGAGGCCCGUAAAGCCUUCCUCACAGCCUACUUCAACAAGCGCCCUUACCUCUCUCUCAAAGAAGAGGAGAAGCUGUCCGCUAGUCUAUGGCUCUGGAAGUCAGACAUUGCCAGUCACUUUUUAAACAAACGGCGGGUGUGUGAGAGCGACUGUGAGUCAAAGAAAUCUUCUGUGCUGCUUGGCUUUGACAUGCAGGCCCUCAAGAAAAUAAAGCAUGACAUGACAUUCGAGGAAAUCAAACUGGCUGGUACCUCACGCAGACCCGGAGGCCUCAAGUCCGGCACCCCAUCCAUGCACCAAAACAAACAAUGUGAGGCAAUUAACUGUACACUAAAGCUUAGUACAUAUACAGAGACCAUAUCCAUUGACUCGGACAGUGAACCAGAAAUAGAGGAGGGUGUAGUUGAGAAUGUCGACGACGACAUUCCCAGUGAGGACGUCCAAGAGGUUACGAAAGAAAUCCAGAGCACUACAGAUGGGACUUCCAGAGGGGAGACAAACAAUUUGAACGAUGGGAAAGCAAAUACUUUGGUAGCACUGUGUUAGUGUCCGUGCUCUGAAGUGUGCCUUGAUUCAGUCCUUUGCAUUUGUGUGAGGAUGGCUGGUGGAGAAAUGUUUCAACAACAGCAACAUUCAGAAUUCAGAUAUUUGGGCUAAUGGCAUGGUACAUGGAAAUACUGUAACAACUAAUACUGACCUUCAUACCAGUAUUGAGAGAGAAAUCAAGCUAUAUUAUUGUGCAAAAAAUUGUAUGGCUUCUGUAAGUGGCAUAAUUUGUGACAUUGUAAAUAAUUUAGGCAUUGUACUUUGUUAGACUAUACAUAUGUUCACUGUUGCUCAUUAGUUCACUGAUUUAUGAAACAAUUUUCCCAAUUUGAUAUUCUUUUUUGUCAUUGUGAAAUGUAACUGUAUUGACAUUUCACUCAUAGAAAAUGUAGGAUAUGCUAAUUGUCUAUGUACACGUUUAAAUAAAUAAGCUUAUUUCCUAAAAAUCCCUGAUUUCUAUCUUUAUUUUUUUACUUUGCAAACAAUAGAUUUGGGGCUUCAAAUAUUUGUGCUUGCAGUGAUAUAUAGUUGAGUUUAUUCAGCCCAUGGACAGAAUGAGUAUUUGAAAUGUUACAUUGCAUGUUCAGAUAAUAACAAUUUUACCCCCUAACAUUUAGUAUUAGAUCGCUUGUUGCCCCCUAACGUUUUGUUGUUGAUGGCUUUUUGUUGUUUCUGAAUUAACUUCCGGCUCUGGGAAACCACCUAUUGGUAAAAAAAAAUCUAGAAGGAGGGACAUCCGCUUCGAGAUUUGGCCAAUAGCAACAGGCCAAUACUAACACGUCAAGGCCUAUUUUCAGCUGUAAAAUGUCGAUAUUUGUUUUGUUAUUUUCAGAUAUGCAUUUUAUAAAACCCUUUUGGUUUUGAAUUGAGAAGAAUUCACCACUUCUCCAUGGAUUCAUGUCUUCGCAGGCCAACAGCACCGGUUGCCAACGACAGAAAGCCAAUCAAAGUGAAGAGAUCCAAUUUUAGCUAUAGAGCUGACGGUCAGCUUGAGCAGAAGCACCCAACCAUGAAGUCUGACUAGG